AUCCUCAUAGUGAUCAAUCAAUAUUAGUAACCUUAGUAGUGGACGCACAAGACAAACAUUUCCGUACUAGUCUGAAAACAAACGUCCUACACGACCAUGUUUUGUUAUUCCGCAUAGCGUUCUUGGCCGCCUUCUUUCUCCCUCCUCCUCCUCGAAAACAACUCUGAUUGUGUCUCCGGGUAACUGCUUCGCCAUCACCUCCAUCACCGUCUUCUUCGUUCUCUUCUGUUGAAAAUGUGUAGCUUCUAAGGUACAUCUGCCUACAAGAUAUGCUGUCAACCACCGUGGUGCGAUGCUGGCUUCCGUCGUGGUUGAUUGACCGUACGAACUCGGCCUCCGCCAUCGGCCACUUGUAAAGAUUGGCGUAAGUCAUAACCGGCCGGACGCAAAUGGAGUCUCUUUUGAUGUUUACACAAUCAUCUAUGCACUUUGAGGCCAUGGUCGCUUUUUUGGAGGGGCAAGUACAAGACAAACAUUUCCAUGUGAAUCGGACCACAAAUCCCUUAAGUGACGCCCUUUUACUCGUCCUCAUAUCUUUCUUCGCCAACUUCUUCCUCCCUGCUCCUCCGCCACCGUCUUCGUUCUCCUCUUUUCUUGAGAACGUAUAG